rnacentral:misc_RNA from 2 species
CUGAAUUGUCAACACGAGUUGUUGCUGGUCCUCAAAUGGGGGCAUGUGCACACUCUGUUUACACAUCCACUCACACCUGUGCACCCUCUGUAGUUCUGUGUCUGGGGGGCCCUGUCCUCCUGGUGCGGUUCUAUAUCUUUACACACACUCUGUAUUAAAGUCUUAUGGAAUGUAUGCCGCGUUUAACGCAAUACAAUA